UGAGGAAUAUUGGUCAAUGGACGAGAGUCUGAACCAGCCAAGUAGCGUGAAGGAUGACUGCCCUAUGGGUUGUAAACUUCUUUUAUACGGGAAUAAAGUGAGGCACGUGUGCCUUUUUGUAUGUACCGUAUGAAUAAGGAUCGGCUAACUCCGUGCCAGCAGCCGCGGUAAUACGGAGGAUCCGAGCGUUAUCCGGAUUUAUUGGGUUUAAAGGGAGCGUAGGCGGACGCUUAAGUCAGUUGUGAAAGUUUGCGGCUCAACCGUAAAAUUGCAGUUGAUACUGGGUGUCUUGAGUACAGUAGAGGCAGGCGGAAUUCGUGGUGUAGCGGUGAAAUGCUUAGAUAUCACGAAGAACUCCGAUUGCGAAGGCAGCUUGCUGGACUAUAACUGACGCUGAUGCUCGAAAGUGUGGGUAUCAAACAGGAUUAGAUACCCUGGUAGUCCACACAGUAAACGAUGAAUACUCGCUGUUUGCGAUAUACAGUAAGCGGCCAAGCGAAAGCGUUAAGUAUUCCACCUGGGGAGUACGCCGGCAACGGUGAAACUCAAAGGAAUUGACGGGGGCCCGCACAAGCGGAGGAACAUGUGGUUUAAUUCGAUGAUACGCGAGGAACCUUACCCGGGCUUGAAUUGCAACUGAAUGAUGUGGAGACAUGUCAGCCGCAAGGCAGUUGUGAAGGUGCUGCAUGGUUGUCGUCAGCUCGUGCCGUGAGGUGUCGGCUUAAGUGCCAUAACGAGCGCAACCCUUAUCGAUAGUUACCAUCAGGUUAUGCUGGGGACUCUGUCGAGACUGCCGUCGUAAGAUGUGAGGAAGGUGGGGAUGACGUCAAAUCAGCACGGCCCUUACGUCCGGGGCUACACACGUGUUACAAUGGGGGGUACAGAAGGCAGCUACACGGCGACGUGAUGCUAAUCCCGAAAGCCUCUCUCAGUUCGGAUUGGAGUCUGCAACCCGACUCCAUGAAGCUGGAUUCGCUAGUAAUCGCGCAUCAGCCACGGCGCGGUGAAUACGUUCCC
rnacentral:rRNA from 1 species